GACGAACGCUGGCGGCGUGCUUAACACAUGCAAGUCGAACGAUAGACCCGGAGCUUGCUCAGGUGGAUUGGUGGCGAACGGGUGAGUAACACGUGAGUAACCUGCCCUUGACUCUGGGAUAACUUCGGGAAACUGUAGCUCAUACCGGAUACGACUCUCGGGAGCAACGCCAGGAGGUGGAAAGAAUUUCGGUCAAGGAUGGACUCGAGGCCUAUCAGCUAGUUGGGGUGGUAACGGCUCACCAGGGCGACGCUGGGUAGCCGGCCUGAGAGGGUGACCGGCUACACUGGGACUGAGACACGGCACAGACCCCUACGGGAGGCAGCAGUGGGGAAUAUUGCACAAUGGGCGCAAGGCUGUUGCAGCAAAGCCGCGUGAGGGAUGACGGCCUUUGGGUUGUAACCCUCUUUUAGUAGGGAAGAAGCGAAAGUGACGGUACCUGCAGAAAAAGCACCGGCUAACUACGUGCCAGCCGCCGCGGUAA
rnacentral:rRNA from 1 species